AGAAGGGGGAAGAGAGGGAGACAGCGCCGGUGGUGGGCACCAUUGCCACCGUCGCUGCCGAUGUGCCGUCAGGAGGAAGAUCCGAGGGAGAGAGAGAGAGCGUGGAGUUGAGGGAGCAGAGAAGCGUGCCGCCACCUCCAGACGCUGUUGCCACCGCCGUUCACGAAGAGGGAAGAGAGAGCUCGCGGGUGAGAGAGGGAGCGUCGCGCCAGCCACUGACCUCGCGUUCGUCGUCAUCUUUGCGGGACUCAUGCCGCUGCCGUCACCUCGCCGUGAAGUCCGUCGCGGCGUCGCCGUCAGGAGUCCGAAUCCGAGGGAGGAGAAGGGCUGUCGUCAUUCUGUGCCGCCGCGUCCUACCACCGCUGCUGCUGGGCCGCCGUCACUAUGAGGAACAGAACGCACGAGACAGAGGAUAGGGAGCUUCGUGGAAGCUCCGCCACUGCCAACGCCGUUGUCGAAAUUGGGCUAGAUUCACCGUGAGGCUAAUGCCGCUAGGACGCGUGUCUAGGUCUGAUUUUUGUUCUUCUGCCGCUGAGAGCCAACACCAGAGCUAUUCCUAAUGAUUCUGUCACUGUAAUUGCAAUUUAUAUUAACACGGCUGUUGUAAGAGGCGUCGCGACUGUUGCUGUUCCGUGGAGCUUAUUGUUAUCACUGUCGCCGUGAAUUGAAAGAAAAGGAAAUUAUCAUGAUAAGUUACGUGGAUUCAGCUAACUGAGCUUUACCUUUUCAGGAACCGGAUGAAGAAGCGUUAAGAAGAGUUAUAUUGCGUUUGGUUGAUAUGUUGUUGUAUUAGUUAGAUUAUUUUCUUCCCUCGUCUUUGUUAUUACAAGUUUGUAAGAGGGAUAGGAAAUUUUAUGUUUUAUAUGUAUAAUAUAUUAUGAGUUAUUAUGUAAGAAGUCUUGUAUAUGAAUCUAUGCUUGUUUGUAGUUUUCUUAAGGUAAAGUGUUUAUUUUCGGUUUUAAAGGAAAUCAGCGGUACAGAAUCGAGUCACAGGCUCCUAUUUUAGUAUUUAGUAUGUAAAGUAGUCGUAAUACUCCUUGCUAUCAGAGUAGCGCAGCCGGAAGCGUGACUUCUGAUAGUGAGGGUGUUACAUAGGGUGUUACAUUUUCAAUGUCUAUGUUAUUUUGAAGUAACUAAAUUUGUAUGUAUAAGCUUCAUAAAAAAUUUGCUGGUCUUUCUGAGUAUAGAGAACUUCAUGGAU